CUUUUAUGAAUAUGACCACGUUCUGCUUCAGAGCCACCAGGCCGCCAGCUGACACCUGAGGGUGGGGAAAGGGGCUAUUCAUCUUCAUCCCAGGGUAGCCCAAUGAGCCUAGAGAAGAAUGAUGUCAACUCUCUCAUGGCUAUGUCACGUCCAUUGUCCGGAGAGGACAUAAUUUCAGUAGCUGAAUACCUGAUGUUACACCCGUGAGUCCUGCUCUUGCUAUGAACCAUUUAUUGUCCAAUAGAAUAAAUAGGAUCCUUGUGUUUUUGUGGUCAGUCUACUAACCAAGGAAUUGUAUUGUUUGUGUAUUACAGGCAGCGGAGGUUGAUUAAGAAACUGCUUAGAAAAAGGGUAUAUUUUUUUUUUUUCCUUGUACACUGUCUGUCAUCUUCACAAAACAUAUUUUGAUAUCAAACUUCUUAGAAAUGAUGUCACUUAUGUUGUUUCUUUACUUUUCUCUUCCUAAGAACAUGACCAUAGAUGACCUGCAGGAACGGUCAUUGGAGUCCAUUGACUGGGUGGUCAUUGUAGUUAAUGAGGUGGUUCUCCCGGCCAUAGCCUUGUACCAGAAGUCCAUAGACGACUUCUGCAUUGGGCAAGAUGAACGACCUCCCUCAUCAGUGUCCCUUGGGGAAUCUGUUACCUCUGGUAACACCAGCACUAGCCAGGGAUGUGCAGAUACGGAUAUUGUAUGUUUCACUCCUAGGUUCAGGAGGGGAAGCCCAGGGUUGCCUCCCCCCUCCUCCCAGGGGUCAGGUAAAAAACGGAUCGUGGGGGUUCUUAGGAUAAUUGCUAAAAAGUUCCACCUGCUGCUGAAGCUUAACUUGGAGCCUAGGUGUAGGCUUAUGGGCCGGCAUCUCCCAACGCUCCCCUCAGACAUGGAGGAUGAGCUCCAGAAUAGGGCAGCUAUGACUGUGGCUGUGAUUCUGCACAAUGUCCAGCUCUUCAUGGAGAGUGAUGAAGCUGGACCAUCCUCCCCUGGGGCUUUGUCCCUUCAAGGCCUUUACACCUCUGUCACUGAUUACUUGGUGUCCAGAAUGUCUAUGAUAUCCUCCAUGAUGUUCUGGAGCGCAUGUAGGAAAGCCAAGGAGAAGCUCCACGUUCUAACAUCAGGCAGUGACUGCAGAAUUUCUGGAGCAUCAAGGUUCAACAUAUCAGAGUUGGCAGUCAACGUUUGUCGGGAGAUAAAGGAUGCAGCAAGCAAGGAUCUUCCCUUCUCUGGUGCUGUAAAUAGCUUCCCAGAGGAGAGAAUGGCAACCACGAAGAUGGGAGGUCUCAUAUUUGAGAGAGUUGAAGUCCCUGAUGCUCUUCCAAGCUUCACGCCAUCUCAAGGACGGACAGAGCAGGGAUGGAUGGUUGAGCACAUUGGCUCAGCCCUAAGUGAGGACAACUUGGACAACAUCACAAGCACUCCGUUGUUCCAGAACAUGGACUACAGCCCGGCUACCACGCCCUCAGAGGGAAGGGCCUCAACCCUGCACACUCUACAGGACACCAUAACUCAGACAGUCAUGGACCAUGCCCUCUUCACAUCUGGAUUGGCGAGCCAAAGUGAGUUCCUUUCCAAAGAGAAGGAACUGGAGCUGGUCAGGGUGGUCAUUGGAAUUCUCAUUGACCAGACUGGUGCCCUUCACUGUGAUAAGACCUGCAUCUCUGCUGAGUCGUUGGUUGACAAAGUGAUAGUGGCCUGUAACAUUGUCAUGGUUAUCCUAAGAAAUUACUAUACAGCCCACGACACAAUUAUUAAAGAGGAUGAGGGCAUGCAGGAGCUCCUGGACCCCAACAUCGAUGGCUACCCCCUGCUGGUACAGUGCCUGAGCCACACCUUAGUGGGAGAUGUGGCCUGUGAGCUGGAGGUCAUGAGGGCUCAGCCUCAGGUCAUCCCAAUCUGGUCCACUAUUAUUGAAGCAGAGCUGGGGAGGGCUAAGGGAAGCGACUCCCAUGAAGCCUUCAGUGAGGAGUCCCUCCCUAUCAUCACGCAGAGGACUGUGGAGGUGCAGCAGGCAAGCAGCCCUGCUAAGAAAAUGGACGAUACCCAGCCUCCCAUCAGUCCCAUUUUAGCCAGGUCUGAGCUUGACAGUAACAGCAGUGGCAGAAGAAGCCAUAACUUAGACAGAGAUGCAGGCGUUACAGCCGAUAACAUCUUUGAUGUCAUUGUCAGGCUGGUCUAUGCUGACAGUAUCAGUGCAGAUGAUUGCGGGUUGUACAAUCCUGCAGCUAUGCUCCUGGGACAGAUCCUGGCCUCAAGUAGGCUUUGUAACAGGAUAUUCCGGGGUAAGAUCCAUUUAUUUUCUAAAGAGAUGAUCUGCCGGGUGUACCAGUUGCUCCUGGACACCAAGAUGGGCCGGGAGACAGCAUGCCGAAAAAGCGGGUCGGAGCCUGUUCUCAAAGAAAUGGCGGCCAACCCCAGGCUCUCCAAAAAGUUCUUCACGGACCUGAUCUAUUUUAUUGUAGAGCGGGCAAUGAAGAAUCUGGUGGAAAACUUAUUGGGCUUGCCACACACCCCACCAGAAGAAGCACUACAGUUGAAUGACAACUUGGCAACCUCAUCCAGUGAUGAGUCACUGCAUAGCGACAACACCUGGUCGUGUGGGGUGUGGGGCACUCUGGUGAGGGAGAGCUCCCUGGACAUGGACUCCUCCAGCUCUUUAAACCAGGACCACUGGGAGGCAGUAGGGACCAUCUGCCAGGUCCUGAGCACCAGGGUGGAAGACAUCCUCCAGGAGACCUGCGACAACCCUAAAAAAUCCAGGGACAGCAUCCAGAAAGGAUUUGAUUCUGGGGGUAAGGCCAAGGUCCCUGACGUGACCAAUGAGGAGGGCUGUGUAGGGAGUCCCACUCCAGUGGUGGACCAACCCUCACAUCAGCUAGAGAGGAUCUUCAGCUGCUCCCUACUGUCUGGGCCCUCCAGCUCAGCCAAGGCAGCAUUGGGAGCCCCUGCCCAAAAGGUGGAGGAAGUGAGAAUUGCUUCUCCAUAUAUCCGAGAGGCCAGGCAGGACUUGCUGGAGAAAGCUCCCUCCAUCCUGCAGGAAGAGAGCCUGGCUAAGGAGGACAUUCAGCUACGCUUGGCCCACGGGGUGACUUUCAUCAACUCAGAGACCCUCAGAGACAUUGUGCAGGGGAUCAUGGGUCACCUGACAUUCAUGGAAUCACUCCCAGCUGGGAGUGUGAAGGCUCCUUUCCAGCUCCAGUCGAUGCUCUUCGACAACAUACGGCAUGUUCUGAAGUAUAUGGCCGGCAUUGUCGUUGUAUUCAGCCAACAGGAGAGCAUUCAGUUUAGGGGUGAUGAUGCAGUGGCCGCCAUUGUGGAGGCUUCUGCUGAUAGACUAUCACUAGAGGCAGAGGCAAACAGUGCCCAAAUGCACAAAAGUUGUGAGAUUGCCAUUCAAUGCAUGGCUGAGACCAUCGCAUGCAGCAUUUGUGAUCACGCUGAGCUCUGGAAGUGGGAGGCCAGGAGCUCUGGAAGUGGGAGGUAUACCCCCAGCCUCGAGGGAAGUGACAGCACUGUCUCUGAGGAGCUCCUAGACAAUAGGGAAGACCUGGAGGCUCCAGCAGAGAUGGCUGAAGAUGACACUGGCUCAGAGAAGACCAGUGUCAGAUCAGAGAUCUUUGAAGACGAUGCUUGCUCAGAGAAAACCAGUGUCAGAUCAGAGGUCUUUAAAGACUACUGUGGUUUGGAGACAGACCAUCACAUGGCCGACCAGUCACUGGAGACCAACCAGUGUCUACUCAGGGCUGGACAGAGUGCCUUCUCACAGAAGGUGAAAGAAGAGGCUAUGGAGACAGGACCCGAGACAACAGGAAAGGGGAAAAAUGAAAAGAAGGUGAAGGGCUUUAUUUGACUCUUAUUUUCUUGGGGAAUAUUAAGCCCACAUGUAAUGUAACAGGCGAGUGUCAUUUACAUUGUUUGGUUUGUUUUAUUCACAGAAAUCCUCUAAGAACAAAGGAGAAAUAGAGGGAAAGAAACCAUGUAAGAGCAAAGUGGCUCCCCUUGGCUCUGAUGGUAAGAGCCAUAAUAUUGUUUUCUGUCAAAAUAUCCAUCUGAAGGGCCUCCCGGGUGGCGUAGUGGUUAAGGGCACUGUACUGCAGCACCAGCUGUGCCACCAGAGACUCUGGGUUCGUGCCCAAGCUCUGUCAUAACCGGCCGCGACCGGGAGGUCUGUGGGGCGAUGCACAAUUGGCCUAGCGUCGCCUGGGUUAGGGAGGGUUUGGCCGGUAGGGAUAUCCUUGUCUCAUCGCGCACCAGCGACUCCUGUGGCGGGCUGGGCGCAGUGCGUGCUAACCAAGGUUGCCAGGUGCACAGUGUUUCCUCCAACACAUUGGUGCGGCUGGCUUCCGGGUUGGAUGCGUGCUGUGUUAAGAAGCAGUGCGGCUUGGUUGGGUUGUGUAUUGGAGGAAGCAUGACUUUCAACCUUCGUCUCUCCCGAGCCCAUACGGGAGUUGAAGCAAUGAGACAAGAUAGUAGCUACUAAAAAAACUAUUGGAUACCACAAAAUUGGGGAGAAGAAAAAAAAACUAUCCAUGAGGCUAUUUUCCUAAAUAAAUACUAUUGUAAUGUGGUGAUUAGGUCAUGUGAUGUAUCCUGUAAUCUGUUCAGGUGCAGUGGCUGCAGAUGAGAAAAGGAAGAAACCAUCUCUCCUCCAGCACAUCUGCAAUGCCUUUGCAAGGGUCUUUUGCUUCUCCCACAAGAAAAAUAGUAGAUUAUUUCCCUCUAAUGGAGUGAGAGCUGUGCCUGCACGACUUUUUAAGGCAGCACCUCAACUCCUGUUACCAGUCCCUCUGCUUACAGUCCUACAAUAAAACAUAUGUUUGCAAUCAUCUUGUGUUGUUUUUAGCUCCUUAUCAACUGUUAAUUUAAGUGUAGUUCAACUCUUUUACUAUUCCUGUGGUAAUGAAACAACACAUUUCAACACUGUAAAACAACACAUUUCACAGCAUCUUUACAGUUUGUGAUAAUAACAUAUAUAUAACAUAUAUUAUUUUUGUUAUCCUUGUUGAUGUAAUUUGAGUAGAAAUCAAUAGUUGUGUUGUGCUGCUGUGAGCCUGUGAAGGCAAACUGUGAAUGACAGGUAGGCAGAGUGGAUGUUGGUGUUACAUCAGGGAAAGAAACAUUGGCUCAGCUGACACAUGGAACACAGCCUCAGCCUCCAGGCCCUGUUGCCUUGCCAACCCCAUCCAGUACUGAUACAGAGGGGGUUAUGUAUAAAACCUGGCUGCGCCAACGGAAAUAUAGGUUAGAGGAGAGUGGGGUAAAUUGAGCCAAAGGGUUAGUUGAGCCACCCCUAGAUGAGCUGUGGGGGCUAAUAUAGUAUAAAUGUUUGUCUUGGGGUAAGCUGAGCCAAUGGCCACCAUAUCCCGUACAAAUGAUUACAUUUUGUCAGUUUUAUUUAUAAUAUGCAAAGUAUUUUUGCAAUGCAUCACGCAUAUGAACUCAAGAUUUAUAUUGUUUCAGAGCAGACAUCAUUCCCUG
rnacentral:lncRNA from 1 species